rnacentral:rRNA from 1 species
CCUACGGGGGGCUGCAGUGGGGAAUAUUGCACAAUGGGGGAAACCCUGAUGCAGCAACGCCGCGUGAGUGAAGAAGUAAUUCGUUAUGUAAAGCUCUAUCAGCAGGGAAGAAAAUGACGGUACCUGAGUAAGAAGCCCCGGCUAACUACGUGCCAGCAGCCGCGGUAAUACGUAGGGGGCAAGCGUUAUCCGGAUUUACUGGGUGGAAAGGGAGCGUAGACGGCAGUGCAAGUCUGGAGGGAAAGGCGGGGGCUCAACCCCCGGACUGCUCUGGAAACUGUACGGCUGGAGUGCAGGAGAGGUAAGUGGAAUUCCUAGUGUAGCGGUGAAAUGCGUAGAUAUUAGGAGGAACACCAGUGGCGAAGGCGGCUUACUGGACUGUAACUGACGUUGAGGCUCGAAAGCGUGGGGAGCAAACAGGAUUAGAUACCCCAGUAGUC